AUGCGAGACAUAGUUAACGGAUCAUUGCACUCUUCUCUGGUGAACCUUGAAGUGAUCUCAACCAUUUUCCUGGGAAGUCACCACCAAUGGAUUAGAUCAGAGGUCAAAAGGUAUGGUCUGCAGGUAAAUGUGACGCUCUGCCUGGUUCUCUAAGUAUUAUUGGUGCAAAAACACACCUGCUCAUUUACUUACUGUCUGUGACUGUUUUCCUGCUUCAAGGGCAGACGUGCAUAAUUGUGAACAGAGCUGGUAUAGUCCAGAAAAUCUCAAAUAUUUACUCUCUACCUCUGAAGAAAAAUGUAGCUUGAUCAGAGUCUGUGUGAGAGAUUAAAUACAAUUGAUCUCCUUGGAUUCCAGGAAUACUCUGCUCAAGACCAACUGAAGUUUUAAAUUUUUCCUAUUUUUGCUUUCUUUUUCAACAUUGAAAAAGUGUGCCUGGGUGCUAAGUCACUUCAGUUGUGUCUGACUCUUUGCAACCCUACGGACUAUAGGCCACCAGGCUUCUCUGUCCCUGGAAUCCUCCAUGCAGGAAUACUGGAGUGGGUUGCCAUGCCCUAAUCCAGGG
rnacentral:lncRNA from 1 species